rnacentral:rRNA from 1 species
UACGAAGGGGGCUAGCGUUGCUCGGAAUCACUGGGCGUAAAGCGUGCGCAGGCGGCUUUGCAAGACAGAUGUGAAAUCCCCGGGCUUAACCUGGGAACUGCAUUUGUGACUGCAUGGCUGGAGUGUGGCAGAGGGGGGUGGAAUUCCGCGUGUAGCAGUGAAAUGCGUAGAGAUGCGGAGGAACACCGAUGGCGAAGGCAGCCCCCUGGGCUGACACUGACGCUCAGGCACGAAAGCGUGGGGAGCAAACAGG